rnacentral:lncRNA from 12 species
ACUGCACCUAUUUCCAGGCAAAACCUGUUCUGUUUACUCAGCCCUGAGUGGAGCCAAAACACCUCCCAGCUCCUCUUCAAUCCUAGCACAGAUCCAACGGUGCCAACAUACUGAUAUCCUGUGGGCAAGACCCAGUCCUGGGCUGGCACACAGUUCUCUCUGGCCUGCCAUGGUCAGGAUAGAGCAGUCUGAUGCUGGGCAGCAGCAGAGAAGGGUGAUAUGUUCCUCUUGGGUAUAUUGGCAAGUCAGAGGUAUCCACUCCAGCAUUUACAGCAGACCGAGGAUGUUUGCCAGAAAAUAAAAAAGGCUCGUAGCUGCCAGAAUCUGCCCUUCCAACAACAAGGAAUAGCAGUAAAUGAGCAAGUUGGAACACACAGA